GCGGCGGCUGCCGGAGGGACGAUGAGCUGCGCGGGACGGGCGGGCCCUGCCCGGCUCGCCGCGCUCGCCCUGCUGACCUGCAGCCUGUGGUACAUCAACGUGACGGUGCAGGAGCCCGGCCGCGGCGCCCCGCUCACGUUCCGCAUCGACCGCGGGCGCUACGGGCUUAACUCCCCCAAGGCCGAGGUCCGCGGCCAGGUGCUGGCGCCGCUGCCCCUCCACGGAGUUGCUGAUCAUCUGGGCUGUGAUCCACAAACCCGGUUCUUUGUCCCUCCUAAUAUCAAACAGUGGAUUGCCUUGCUGCAGAGGGGAAACUGCACGUUUAAAGAGAAAAUAUCACGGGCCACUUUCCACAAUGCAGUUGCUGUAGUCAUCUACAAUAAUAAAUCCAAAGAGGAGCCGGUUACCAUGACUCGCCCAGGCACUGGAGAUAUUAUUGCUGUCAUGAUAACAGAAUUUAGGGGUAAGGAUAUUUUGAGUUAUCUGGAGAAAAACAUCUCUGUACAAAUGACAAUAAGUGUUGGAACUCGAAUGCCACCGAAGAACUUCAGCCGUGGCUCUCUAGUCUUCGUGUCAAUAUCCUUUAUUGUUUUGAUGAUUAUUUCUUCAGCAUGGCUCAUAUUCUACUUCAUUCAGAAGAUCAGGUACACAAAUGCACGCGACAGGAACCAGCGUCGUCUUGGAGAUGCAGCCAAGAAAGCCAUCAGUAAAUUGACAACCAGGACAGUAAAGAAGGGUGACAAGGAAACUGACCCAGACUUUGAUCAUUGUGCGGUCUGCAUAGAGAGCUAUAAGCAGAAUGAUGUCGUCCGAAUUCUCCCCUGCAAGCAUGUUUUCCACAAAUCCUGCGUGGAUCCCUGGCUUAGUGAACACUGUACCUGUCCUAUGUGCAAACUUAAUAUAUUGAAGGCCCUGGGAAUUGUGCCGAAUUUGCCAUGUACUGAUAACGUAGCAUUCGAUAUGGAAAGGCUCACCAGAACCCAAGCUGUUAACCGAAGAUCAGCCCUCGGCGACCUUGCCGGCGAAAACUCCCUCGGCCUUGAGCCACUUCGAACUUCGGGGAUCUCGCCUCUUCCUCAGGACGGGGAGCUCACUCCGAGAACAGGAGAAAUCAACAUUGCAGUAACAAAAGAAUGGUUUAUUAUUGCCAGUUUUGGCCUCCUCAGUGCCCUCACACUCUGCUACAUGAUCAUCAGAGCCACAGCUAGCUUGACUGCUAAUGAGGUAGAAUGGUUUUGAAGAAGAAAAAACCUGCUUUCUGACUGAUUUUGCCUUGAAGGAAAAAAGAACCUAUUUUUGUGCAUCAUUUACCAAUCAUGCCACACAAGCAUUUAUUUUUAGUACAUUUUAUUUUUUCAUAAAAUUGCUAAUGCCAAAGCUUUGUAUUAAAAGAAAUAAUAAAA